rnacentral:rRNA from 1 species
AGAGUUUGAUCCUGGCUCAGGACGAACGCUGGCGGCGUGCCUAACACAUGCAAGUCGAGCGAAGCUUAAGCCUUCAGCUUGCUGUUGGUUUAAGACUUAGCGGCGAACGGGUGAGUAACGCGUGGGUGACCUACCCAGGAGACCGGGAUAACAGCUCGAAAGGGCUGCUAAUACCGGAUGACAUCCUGCUCUUUUGGGGGUAGGAUCAAAGCGUUAUGUAGCGCUUCUGGAUGGGCCCGCGUCCCAUUAGCUAGUUGGUGAGGUAACGGCUCACCAAGGCGACGAUGGGUAGCCGGUCUGAGAGGAUGGUCGGCCACACUGGGACUGAGAUACGGCCCAGACUCCUACGGGAGGCAGCAGUGGGGAAUUUUGCGCAAUGGGGGCAACCCUGACGCAGCGACGCCGCGUGGGUGAAGAAGGCCUUCGGGUUGUAAAGCCCUGUCUAGGGGGAAGAUAGUGACGGUACCCCUGGAGGAAGCCCCGGCUAACUACGUGCCAGCAGCCGCGGUAAUACGUAGGGGGCGAGCGUUGUCCGGAAUUACUGGGCGUAAAGGGCGUGUAGGCGGCCAAGCAAGUCAGCUGUGAAACACCCCGGCUCAACCGUGGUUCUGCAGUUGAAACUGCGUGGCUUGAGUGCAGGAGAGGAGGGUGGAAUUCCUGGUGUAGCGGUGAAAUGCGUAGAUAUCAGGAGGAACACCGGUGGCGAAGGCGACCUUCUGGCCUGUUACUGACGCUGAGGCGCGAAAGCUAGGGGAGCGAACAGGAUUAGAUACCCUGGUAGUCCUAGCCGUAAACGCUGGGUACUAGUGUAGGCGGUUUAGAUACUGUCUGUGCCGCAGUUAACGCAUUAAGUACCCCGCCUGGGGAGUACGGUCGCAAGGCUGAAACUCAAAUGAAUUGACGG